rnacentral:rRNA from 1 species
CCCUUAGAGUUUGAUCCUGGCUCAGAUUGAACGCUGGCGGCAGGCCUAACACAUGCAAGUCGAGCGGUAGAGAGGUGCUUGCACCUCUUGAGAGCGGCGGACGGGUGAGUAAAGCCUAGGAAUCUGCCUGGUAGUGGGGGAUAACGCUCGGAAACGGACGCUAAUACCGCAUACGUCCUACGGGAGAAAGCAGGGGACCUUCGGGCCUUGCGCUAUCAGAUGAGCCUAGGUCGGAUUAGCUAGUUGGUGAGGUAAUGGCUCACCAAGGCGACGAUCCGUAACUGGUCUGAGAGGAUGAUCAGUCACACUGGAACUGAGACACGGUCCAGACUCCUACGGGAGGCAGCAGUGGGGAAUAUUGGACAAUGGGCGAAAGCCUGAUCCAGCCAUGCCGCGUGUGUGAAGAAGGUCUUCGGAUUGUAAAGCACUUUAAGUUGGGAGGAAGGGCAUUAACCUAAUACGUUAGUGUUUUGACGUUACCGACAGAAUAAGCACCGGCUAACUCUGUGCCAGCAGCCGCGGUAAUACAGAGGGUGCAAGCGUUAAUCGGAAUUACUGGGCGUAAAGCGCGCGUAGGUGGUUCGUUAAGUUGGAUGUGAAAUCCCCGGGCUCAACCUGGGAACUGCAUUCAAAACUGUCGAGCUAGAGUAUGGUAGAGGGGUGGUGGAAUUUCCUGUGUAGCGGUGAAAUGCGUAGAUAUAGGAAAGAAC